GUGAAACAACGCUGGACGUCCUAAUGCUCUGCGUGAGGACAUUCAGUAUCUGAGAAAACCCUGUAGGAAGGCAUUGGAGCAAUGCUUUCCUAUGGGUAAAGUCUAAUGCUCGCACACAUGGUCAAUAGGUCCACCUAGUGGAGGCACAACUCCACUUAAAAAGGACUUUGGCUCUGGAAUUGGGUAAAUUAAUAAAGGGUUAUUCAACCCUUUACAUCGUGGGGAAGUCGCAUGGGCAGUGAAACACAUUAGGAAUAUAUCUUUGUAUUCCCAACACUAAAGCAAAGUGUUCCUUUAAUGUGUGGGGAGAAACUUAUUAAUAACCCUGAAAUUGUGUAACUUUACAUAGUUUUUUUUUUUUUUUUAAUGUAUCCUUAAGCACUGUUCUCAAAGUUGCAGUUUAUCCCACUGUGCAUGGUCGCAAUAUUUCAAAUAAAUGCAUUUUUGUUUUUCGAACUAAAGGAAUGCAGUAGGGAAGGAGUUAAACCAGUUUCACUUAAAAUAAUCAUUGCACAGUGGGUUCAAUUUAUUUUACUUUUUGUAGGCUGGAAAGUUUAACGGUUUUAAAGCCAUCUUUAGCAGAACCAGGACAUACACAUCCCAGUCUGAGAUUAUUGGGAGUCACACUCCCAAGCUGCAAUGUCUGAAACAAACUUUUAUUUUUAAAUUGCACACAAUAUACAUUAAAACCAAGAUGUCUUAAGAUGGUCACAUUGUAGGUUAAGACCAAAUGUGACCGUUUAUAAAAUAUCUCCAAAAGAUAGCAUGAUUUUCCAUAAUGUGCACUAUGCUGUGUGUUUGUAUAUUUUAGGUUUGUGAGCUAGGGUUGAAGUUAGUAUUGGUUGUAGUGUAGGUAUUAAGGAGAGUUUUUAAACACACAUUGUCCACUGCUGUCUGAUACUAGAGGGAAUUUGUUUUGGUUUGUAAACACGACAAAUUAAAAUGGCAGCUGACGUGCAUCAACCACUAAUUUUAAGCAGACAAUGACAUGUAUGUCAAGACGGAGUACCCAAACUACGGAGGUAAUCCGUGUAUUGUUCCAGUGUAUCAUACAAUAAAAAAACCUGCACAGAUGAGGUCACCAUCUGGCAAUAUAGUAUUAGAAAACAUAAUCUGCUUGUUGGUACAGGCUAAUCCUUCCCAAUUAUGAAAAUAUGCUGGCUUCAACACAAACCUGCCAUCUUCACACUGUCCCUCCAUUCACAUCUUCCACCAGCACACACAGUGACCGAACAGGAAAACUGCCAUUAGGAAGGUUCUCCUGCCCCCCACCGUCAAUCAAUACUCGUCACACACACACAUCUAAGCUGAGAGUUGAUCAACAGCUUUCAUACUUAACCUCUUCAGGACGGAGUCAAUAGUUUACGUUCUGAUCAAAACAAAACAAACUGGAAUUUGCACCGUAAUUCCCCACUGUCACAUUAAGUGCACCCACACUUCUUAUAUAUCAUUUUGUUCAGGAGAAACAGGGCUUUAAUUUAUCAUUAACUAUUCAUAUAUGGAACAUAAUUUAUUAUUAAUAAAAUGUAAAAGAAUUUGAGAAAAUAAGAUUUUGUUUAAAUUUAUAUUUCCGUCUGACAUUUUAGCUGUGAAUCACCCUGGUGGCAGAUCCACAGCUAGCUAUAGGGGGCCAUGUGAUUGCUCUUUGAGAGCGAUCACAUGGCCCCCGGGGGCUUCUUUUGCCGUGGGAGGGCUGCCUGGGCUGUCAGGCAGUGCUCCCGAAGAGCAUCGCGGUUAGGUGAGUAUCCCGGACGCUCUGGGGGCUGCAGCCGUUACAGCGUUCUAUGCUGCCACAACGGCUUUAAAGCCCAUUUAAAUGGGGACGGCAUAGAACGCUGUAACAGCGUUAAGGGGUUAAAGUAUCACUAUAGUGUUAAAAACACCAUCUAUGCCCCUCUGCACUCCCUAAAUAUUGUAUAACCAUACCUUUACUCCAGUCUUCUGCUGCUGGCUCUGCAUCUGAUCUGCCUGCUUGACUGACAUUAUCAGAAGGGUUGUUCUGAGCCAAUCACAAUGUUUUCUCAUAGGAAAGCAUUGGAUUGAUGGAGACGUUCAAGAAGACCAAUCAGAGGCAGAGCCAGCACAAGCCAAACACAGCAGAUAAGAACCGUUCAGCCCAUCUAUUCUGCCCAAUUUUCUAAAUACUUUCAUUAGUCCCUGGCCUUAUAUUAAGGCUAGGAUAGCCUUAUGCCUAUGCCAUGAAUGCUUAAACUAUCUCACCGUGUUAAGGCUAUUUCAUGCAUCCACUACCCUCUCUGUAAAGUAAUAAUUUUUAAACCUUUGCCCCUCUAAUUUAAUUUAUGUUCCCUUUGUUGUGGUAGUUUUUCUUCUUUUAAAUAUAGUUGAUUCCCUUUAAAUGUUUCUAUCCUAUCCCUCCUGUCUUGUCUUAGAAACAUAGAAUGUGACGGCAGAUAAGAACCAUUCGGCCCAUCUAGUCUGCCCAAUUUUCUAAAUACUUUCAUUAGUCCCUAGCCUUAUCUUAUAGUUAGGAUAGCCUUAUGCCUAUCCCACGCAUGCUUAAACUCCUUUACUGUGGUAACCUCUACCACUUCAGCUGGAAGGCUAUUCCAUGCAUCCACUACCCUCUCAGUAAAGUAAUACUUCCUGAUAUUAUUUUUAAACCUUUGUCCCUCUAA